rnacentral:rRNA from 1 species
CCUACGGGGGGCAGCAGUGGGGAAUAUUGGACAAUGGGGGCAACCCUGAUCCAGCCAUGCCGCGUGUGUGAAGAAGGCCCUCGGGUUGUAAAGCACUUUCAGUGAGGAAGAACGCCUGGUGGUUAAUACCCAUCAGGAAAGACAUCACUCACAGAAGAAGCACCGGCUAACUCCGUGCCAGCAGCCGCGGUAAUACGGAGGGUGCGAGCGUUAAUCGGAAUUACUGGGCGUAAAGCGCGCGUAGGUGGCUUGAUAAGCCGGUUGUGAAAGCCCCGGGCUCAACCUGGGAACGGCAUCCGGAACUGUCAAGCUAGAGUGCAGGAGAGGAAGGUAGCAUUCCCGGUGUAGCGGUGAAAUGCGUAGAGAUCGGGAGGAAUACCAGUGGCGAAGGCGGCCUUCUGGACUGACACUGACACUGAGGUGCGAAAGCGUGGGUAGCAAACAGGAUUAGAUACCCUUGUAGUC